CCUUCACCGACAACGACUCGGCUCUGCGAUCUGCUACAGAUCCAGGUAUUGGAGGACAAGAUGAAGCUCACCUCAAUGCAGGCUGAAUUGAACGAACGACUGGUAGAAUGCUCCGAGCUGAAAAGCCUCAAGCCCGGAAAAAGCUGCUAUCAAAUGCGGGGUCGCAUCUUGUUUCUAGCCGACGGAAAAAGUGUCUUAGCCUCGAAAAACGCCAGUCUAGAAGCCCUACAGAAGGAAAUCAAGAACACUGAACAAAACAUACUGGCCGAUCUGGCUCGCGCGGCCAAACUCGUGGA